rnacentral:rRNA from 1 species
CCUACGGGAGGCAGCAGUGGGGAAUAUUGGGCAAUGGAGGAAACUCUGACCCAGCGACGCCGCGUGCGGGAUGAAGGCCUUCGGGUUGUAAACCGCUUUCAGCAGGGAAGAAGCGAAAGUGACGGUACCUGCAGAAGAAGCACCGGCUAACUAUGUGCCAGCAGCCGCGGUAAUACAUAGGGUGCAAGCGUUGUCCGGAAUUAUUGGGCGUAAAGAGCUCGUAGGUGGUUCGUCACGUCGGAUGUGAAAAUCUGGGGCUUAACCCCAGACCUGCAUUCGAUACGGGCGAGCUUGAGUAUGGUAGGGGAGUCUGGAAUUCCUGGUGUAGCGGUGGAAUGCGCAGAUAUCAGGAGGAACACCAAUGGCGAAGGCAGGACUCUGGGCCAUUACUGACACUGAGGAGCGAAAGCGUGGGGAGCGAACAGGAUUAGAUACCCUGGUAGUCCACGCCGUAAACGGUGGGCACUAGUUGUGGGGACCUUCCACGGUCUCUGCGACGCAGCUAACGCAUUAAGUGCCCCGCCUGGGGAGUACGAUCGCAAGNUUAAAACUUAAGGAAUUGACGG